rnacentral:rRNA from 1 species
UACGAAGGGGGGCUAGCGUUGUUCGGAAUCACUGGGCGUAAAGCGCACGUAGGCGGAUCUUUAAGUCAGGGGUGAAAUCCCCAGGCUCAACCUGGGAACUGCGUCCGAUACUGGCAGGCUUGAAUCCGGGAGAGGGAUGUGGAAUUCCAGGUGUAGCGGUGAAAUGCGUAGAUAUCUGGAGGAACGCCGGUGGCGAAGGCGGCAUCCUGGACCGGUAUUGACGCUGAGGCGCGAAAGCCAGGGGAGCAAACGGG